GUGUCAGCAGCCGCGGUAAUACGAAGGGGGCUAGCGUUGCUCGGAAUCACUGGGCGUAAAGCGCACGUAGGCGGGUCUUUAAGUCGGGGGUGAAAUCCUGGAGCUCAACUCCAGAACUGCCUUCGAUACUGAGGAUCUCGAGUCCGGGAGAGGUGAGUGGAACUCCGAGUGUAGAGGUGAAAUUCGUAGAUAUUCGGAAGAACACCAGUGGCGAAGGCGGCUCACUGGCCCGGUACUGACGCUGAGGUGCGAAAGCGUGGGGAGCAAACAGGAUUAGAUACCCCUGUAGUCC
rnacentral:rRNA from 1 species